AGUGAACGUUGGCGGCGUGGAUUAGGCAUGCAAGUCGAGCGAGAACCGUAGCAAUACGGGGUCAGCGGCGAAAGGGACAGUAAUGUGUAGGUACCUACCUCCGGGUUCGGGAUAGCUGCGGGAAACUGCAGGUAAUACCGAAUAACGUCUCCGGACCAAAGGUGUGAUUCCACCUGGAGAGGGGCCUGCAUCCUAUUAGCUUGUUGGCGGGGUAACGGCCCACCAAGGCGACGAUGGGUAGCGGGUGUGAGAGCACGACCCGCGUCAUUGGGACUGAGACACUGCCCAGACACCUACGGGUGGCUGCAGUCGUGAAUCUUCGGCAAUGGGCGCAAGCCUGACCGAGCGACGCCGAGUGCGGGAUGAAGGCCUUCGGGUUGUAAACCGCUGUCGUAGAGGAGGAAAUGCAGGGGGGUUCUCCCCUCUGUUUGACCUAUUCUAGGAGGAAGUACGGGCUAAGUUCGUGCCAGCAGCCGCCGUAA
rnacentral:rRNA from 1 species